AGGGUAGGGACUCUGGGCGGGCCGGCUCCCGCUCCGCCCUCAACACCGCCCGCGAGGGAUGGGCGCUGUGGGAGGGUAGGGGCCGGCUUGCGGGGGGACCCCGCUCUUCUGAGGGGGAGCCUGCCCUUCCCCGCGCCAGCAGCUGUGCUCAGCCGCGCCGCGCUCCACAAGGGCUGCAGUACGUGUAGUACCCUCAAGGUGUUUGUCUCGAAAGCCGCCCUUCCCGUGUUGCCUUUACUCCUUAAACUGCCUGUAUUUGUAACGUUUGGGUGUAUUUGGGGUUCGGCUGUGGAGCCGCUGCUGUGGAAAUGCAGCAUGCUCCCUUGGCGUUGGCUGGACAAAAUGGCGGUGGCUCGGCCCUGGCAGCCAGCGCCAUUGACGGUGGUGUCAGGCUGCAGGCAAAGAUUGUUAAUCGAAACAGAAAACUAGAUUGGGGGUGCAUCUCUGAUAUAAUUUCUCAUUCAGGAAGCAGUCUGUUGAAGUGAUCGCUUUGCCUUUUUUGGUAAGAAUGUCGAUGGGUGACUUGAGGUAAAGCACUCCUCAGCGCAGAGCCGUUGCCCGUAGUUUUUCAAAUGGGCAGAUACAGGCUGUGGCCUCUUCAAAACCAGGUCUAACAGAGAAACGGUGACAGCCUCUUCGUAAUUCUCCAACAGCAGAUAAAAGGAUUGGAAGGUAACUGCCGAUUAAGUGCUUCAUAAUUGAUACAAGAAUAAUUGUACAAGGAAAUAAAAAUAUCUGGUAACAGAUCUGUAUGAGGGAGAGCAGGUACAGAACACUGUCUUUCAUAAGACAAAUUUAUUGGUGGGAAAAGAUGACUCCACAUUGCUUUUCUAUAACCGCUUUUGAGCAGUGCUGAAUGUCUUGUGGGCUGUUUCAUUCUUGCAUCCCUCAGACCAAAACGGAGGCAUCAAUAUUGACAGCAGCAGUGUUAAAAGUUAAUGCCUGUGAAUUACCAUGUUGAGCACAUGGACCAUAAAAAAACGUGUUAACUAACAGGUGACCUGAGUUUCUGCGUGUCUUGAACAGACCUGAACCAGAAAAAUGCCAUUCAGAGUUCGCUGAUUUGGGUUUGAAGUAGAUCAGCAGAUUUAACCUGAGAAGUGACAGGUACAGGCACACAGCCACCUCCAACUGUGCAACAGGCUGAAGAUGAUUCACUUGGAGAGCAGUCAGAGAUCUGGGAUGCUCAGUCCAGUUCACUGCUUUCCUGUGUUAGCUCAGGACUAGAAGAAUGUAGUGGAGCAUGCAUCUGGCAGUGUGACGUUAUUCCUAUGGUGUGCAGUGUGCCCUUCGUGUGGAGAAUCACCAAAGUCAUUUCUGCUGCAGUCAUCUAGGCGUGAGGAGUUGUACUGUGUGCACUGAGGAGAGCUGGAAAGGACAAUGGUGUCAUCACCUGAGGGGAAACAAAAAUCAGAAAGAAAUGAGGAGGGGAAAUUUUGUCGCUUAUUUUUAGACUCCGUGGAGAGAGGGAGCUUGAGAUUGAAACAUUCUGGUAACAAUUUUCACCAGGUACAUAUUGUAUGUGUUUUAGAAGUAUCUCUAAUCUUAGAAAGAACAAGAGACAGAAUGGGUAAUAGUCUGUUCUGGUGUGCUGGAGAGGUCUAGCCUCUAGUUGCUGCAUAGGACAGGGAAAAAGCAAAAAUUCCACUGUUGCACAG